AUCGAACGCUGGCGGCAGGCCUAACACAUGCAAGUCGAGCGAGCGGCGGACGGGUGAGUAAUGUCUGGGAAACUGCCUGAUGGAGGGGGAUAACUACUGGAAACGGUAGCUAAUACCGCAUACCAUCAGAUGUGCCCAGAUGGGAUUAGCGAGUAGGUGGGGUAAUGGCUCACCUAGGCGACGAUCCCUAGCUGGUCUGAGAGGUUGACCAGCCACACUGGAACUGAGACACGGUCCAGACUCCUACGGGGGGCAGCAGUGGGGAAGAUUGCACAAUGGGCGCAAGCCGGAUGCAGCCAGGCCGCUUGUAUGAAGAGGGCCUUCGGGUUUUAAAGUACGUUCAGCGGGGAGGCGUUACCCGCAGAAGAAGCACCGGCUAACUCCGUGCCAGCAGCCGCGGUAAUAC
rnacentral:rRNA from 1 species